UACAGAGGGUGCGAGCGUUGUUCGGAAUUAUUGGGCGUAAAGGGCGCGUAGGCGGCUUGGCAAGUGGAUGGUGAAAUCCCUCGGCUUAACCGAGGAACUGCCGUCCAAACUGCUUAGCUUGAGACCGGGAGAGGUGAGUGGAAUUCCCAGUGUAGCGGUGAAAUGCGUAGAUAUUGGGAGGAACACCAGUGGCGAAGGCGGCUCACUGGACCGGUACUGACGCUGAGGCACGAAAGCGUGGGGAGCAAACAGG
rnacentral:rRNA from 1 species